CCUCUGAGUAUGUUGGUCUUGGUGAAACGAACGUGAAUUCUUCUGAAAACUGCACGAAUCUUCAAUCAUCUAACUGCGCUAGUAGAGGUAUUACAAGAAAGAGAGGGCCGUAUAAAUUAUACAAUUUGAACCCAGAAGACGAAAGUUUUAACGCUAAAAUACCAAAGACAACUAAAUGGCGUCGUACUCGUGAGAGGGAUGUUGCGUCCUCUGAAGAAAACCUGGACGAACAAGAUUCGAUUGCUGAACCAGAUGAAGAGUUACAGCCUUGUUCUGAUCCCUCGUUUACCGUGGGAAAUGAAAGUCAUGAUUUAACAGAUGAUUGUGAUAAUCAAGUCAGUGAUGAUAAUGACAAUAAUCCUAAUCGAUUUGUUCAGUUCCAAGAAGGUUGUGGAAAUCAAGAUGAAAGUGGUGAUGAAUUGUACCAAUCUGAAGCUGACCAGGAACCAGUGGAUGAACCAUUGUAUGAAAAUGCACCUGU